rnacentral:rRNA from 1 species
AUUGAACGCUGGCGGCAGGCCUAACACAUGCAAGUCGAGCGGAUGACGGGAGCUUGCUCCUUGAUUCAGCGGCGGACGGGUGAGUAAUGCCUAGGAAUCUGCCUGGUAGUGGGGGACAACGUUUCGAAAGGAACGCUAAUACCGCAUACGUCCUACGGGAGAAAGCAGGGGACCUUCGGGCCUUGCGCUAUCAGAUGAGCCUAGGUCGGAUUAGCUAGUAGGUGAGGUAAUGGCUCACCUAGGCGACGAUCCGUAACUGGUCUGAGAGGAUGAUCAGUCACACUGGAACUGAAACACGGUCCAGACUCCUACGGGAGGCAGCAGUGGGGAAUAUUGGACAAUGGGCGAAAGCCUGAUCCAGCCAUGCCGCGUGUGUGAAGAAGGUCUUCGGAUUGUAAAGCACUUUAAGUUGGGAGGAAGGGUUGUACGUUAAUACCGUGCAAUUUUGACGUUACCGACAGAAUAAGCACCGGCUAACUCUGUGCCAGCCGCCGCAGUAAGAC